rnacentral:rRNA from 1 species
GACGAACGCUGGCGGCGUGCUUAACACAUGCAAGUCGAACGGAAAGGCCCUGCUUUUGUGGGGUGCUCGAGUGGCGAACGGGUGAGUAACACGUGAGUAACCUGCCCUUGACUUUGGGAUAACUUCAGGAAACUGGGGCUAAUACCGGAUAGGAGCUCCUGCUGCAUGGUGGGGUUGGAAAGUUUCGGCGGCUGGGGAUGGACUCGCGGCUUAUCAGCUUGUUGGUGGGGUAGUGGCUUACCAAGGCUUUGACGGGUAGCCGGCCUGAGAGGGUGACCGGCCACAUUGGGACUGAGAUACGGCCCAGACUCCUACGGGAGGCAGCAGUGGGGAAUAUUGCACAAUGGGCGGAAGCCUGAUGCAGCAACGCCGCGUGCGGGAUGACGGCCUUCGGGUUGUAAACCGCUUUCGCCUGUGACGAAGCGUGAGUGACGGUAAUGGGUAAAGAAGCACCGGCUAACUACGUG